rnacentral:tRNA from 1 species
GCCUGGAUAGCUUGGUUGGUUAAAGCAUGGUGCUAAUAAUGCCAAGGUUGCUGGUUCGAUCCCCUCUUGGGACA